rnacentral:lncRNA from 1 species
GAUGACUUUGUCGGGAAAGACUCUGACGUGAGAACAAAAAAAUAUCGGCACAAUGAUGUUUUAUAUUAUUUAAUGAAUAUUAAUUACAGUGACAAUGUACCGGUCAGUUUCCUACUGCUUUUGCCACAAGGUUAGGGGGUAUUUUUGAGGCUGGAGUAUCUAAGGAAGUCAGGACAGCUGUGUCUAGCAACUGACCUUCGUCAGCUGAGAGCCUCCUUCCUCAACAGUACCCAAUACAAGAAAAUCACUUUGCAUACCAUCGAGAUCUACAAAAAUGAGAAGUUAUACAAGAUUAAUAUAAAUAAAAAAAACAUGUAUAACCCAUUUUAUACGCUUGUAUCUAUACAGAUACUGGUUAAAGUUGUAGGCACUUUAGGUACCACCCCGGCUUUGCUGCCUUUGUUUCUCCGGAAGAAGAAGCUCUUCCACAAGUAGUGUAUGUCCAUCAAGUUCAGUUUUGGUUAAUAUUCCACUCCAAGAAAAAUAAGAACGACAUUGUUAUGCGGGAGAAAUUUGAAAAUAGAAAUAGUCCAAAUAGCCGUGUCAGAUCAGAGUCACCCAAUAUUACCAAAAGAUAUAAUAAUUAUAUUGUUUUAUGUGUAUGAAUCAUAGAGUUCACUAUCCUAAUCCUUUUGUAGAAAUAAGUCAUAUUUUUUCUUGAAAUGAAAAUAUUCCAUACGAGCGUAACCAACAUAUCUUUUUAGUUUAACAAAAAGGUACUUUCAAAUUUCCGUUCCAAUGUUACGUAGUACUGUCAUGGAAUAUUUCUAUUUUAUGUCAAGAAAACCUAGGACAAUUGAAAAAUAUAACAUCUUCAGUCCCAGGAUGUUCCAUGAUAGUUGAUGUUUUGUUUUCAUUUCUCCCAACUGAUAAAUCUACGCCAAUUGUGGUGUUUCCAAAUCAGUCAAGAAAUCAUCUUCCUAUGAAUGAACAUCUGCGUUCGAUGGGUCUGAAGAGGCUAAUCGAAUAUUUAGUUCCUGAGAUGUUCAGUCUUACAUGUACCCUCUUGUACCUGUAUUUGUCUGUACCUGUAUCUGUCGUUAUAAUUAUUACGGGCACCUAUUUAUGUCAAGGAGAUUUAAUGCAAAAAAAUUAUACAGCUUUUUUUAUGAUAGCUAGUAUCUUCUUUUGGAAUUCUAUCAGUUGUUUCAUUUUAUUUUUAAUUUGUUUGUUUUACCCAUUGCAAUAUCAUGGGACCAAAUCCGAAGGUGAUUAGUUAAUCGCUUGACUUUGUUGCCCGUGUUUCGGUAGGAACGCUGGCCUAAUUACAAAAUGCAAAAGAUAAACAAUUGACUCCUUGGCAGAAAACAGUUACGUCGGUAUAACAUAGGUAUCCACCAG